rnacentral:rRNA from 1 species
CAAAGAUUAAGCCAUGCAUGUGUAAGUAUAAAUAAUUUUACUUUGAAACUGCGAAUGGCUCAUUAUAUCAGUUAUAGUUUAUUAGAAAUAUUUUACUACUUGGAUAACCGUAGUAAUUCUAGGGCUAAUACAUGAGUAAAACCUCAACUUCGGAAGAGGUGUGUUUAUUAGUAUGAAAACCAUAUAUCUUCGGAUAUAAUAGUGAGUAAUAAUAACCUUUCAUAUCGUAUGUCGUAAGAUAACGAUAGUUCUUUCAAGUUUCUGCCCUAUCAGCUUUCGAUGGUAGUAUAUGGGACUACCAUGGCAGUAACGGGUAACGAAGAAUUUGGGUUCGAUUUCGGAGAGGGAGCCUGAGAGAUGGCUACCACAUCCAAGGAAGGCAGCAGGCGCGUAAAUUACCCAAUCCUGACAUAGGGAGGUAGUGACAAUAAAUCACAAUGCGGAACUUUUAGUUUUGCAAUUGGAUUGAGAACAAUGUACAAAUGUUAUCGAUAAACAAUUGGAGGGCAAGUCUGGUGCCAGCAGCCGCGGUAAUUCCAGCUCC